rnacentral:tRNA from 1 species
GGCUACGUAGCUCAGCUGGUUAGAGCACAUCACUCAUAAUGAUGGGGUCACAGGUUCG